rnacentral:rRNA from 1 species
GACUAACACGUGACUAACCUACCUCCGAGUGGGGAAUAACUCCGGGAAACCGGGGCUAAUACCGCAUAACAUCGCAAGAUCAAAGCAGCAAUGCGCUUGGAGAGGGGGUCGCGGCUGAUUAGCUUGUUGGUAAGGUAACGGCUUACCAAGGCGACGAUCCGUAGCCGGCCUGAGAGGGCGGUCGGCCACACUGACACUGAAAUACGGGUCAGACUCCUACGGGAGGCAGCAGUCGGGAAUUUUGGGCAAUGGGCGAAAGCCUGACCCAGCAACGCCGCGUGAAGGAUGAAAUCCUUCGGGAUGUAAACUUCGCAAGAACGGGAAGAAUAAGUGAGCGCUAACACCGUUCGCGAUGACGGUACCGUUUGUAAGCUCCGGCUAACUCCGUGCCAGCAGCCGCGGUAAUACGGGGGGAGCAAGCGUUGUUCGGAUUUACUGGGCGUAAAGGGCGCGUAGGCGGCCAGUGCAAGUCAGUUGUGAAAUCUCCGGGCUUAACUCGGAAAGGUCAACUGAUACUGCGCGGCUAGAGUGCGGAAGGGGCAACUGGAAUUCUCGGUGUAGCGGUGAAAUGC